rnacentral:tRNA from 3 species
CGGGAUAUAGCGCAGUCUGGUAGCGCUUCUGUUUUGGGAAUAGAAAGUCACAGGUUCGAAUCCUGUUAUCCCGA